AAUCAACGCUGGCGGCGUGCCUAACACAUGCAAGUCGAACGCGAAAGUCCCGAAAGGGAUAAGUAGAGUGGCAAACGGGUGAGUAACGCGUGGGUGACCUGCCUUCGAGUGGGGGAUAACGUUUCGAAAGGAACGCUAAUACCGCAUAACAUCCUGUCUUUUAAGAGACGGACAUCAAAGCCUGGGACCGUAAGGCCAGGCGCUUGAAGAGGGGCCCGCGUCUGAUUAGCUAGUUGGUGGGGUAAUGGCUCACCAAGGCAACGAUCAGUAUCCGGCCUGAGAGGGGCGGACGGACACACUGGGACUGAGACACGGCCCAGACUCCUACGGGAGGCAGCAGGUGGGGAAUUGUUCGCAAUGGGCGCAAGCCUGACGACGCAACGCCGCGUGGAGGAUGAAGAUUUUCGGAU
rnacentral:rRNA from 1 species